UACUGGUACCUUGUUUCCCUUGUAACAAUAAGAAAUAUACUCAAAACCUGGAUUAAUCUUUUUAGUCACAUAGCACUACUAUUAUUCUGAACACUACUGUAUGUGUGAUUUUUCAUCCCAGAGUGGAAACUAUACCCAUGUAGGGGUCAAUCAAGGAUUUCACAAGAUUCAACAUAAAACUAUAAAUACUCCAGUCACUUUUGUCUGAUCAUAAGCAUUCCAAAAAGGUACUGUUCUGAAAAACAACAAACAUGGUAACAAAGGUCAAUUUCAGUUUGCAUAAGGAUUAAAAAUUAAAGGUGCUCCAAUUUUAAUAAAAAGUUACAUUAAAGAAAAAAAGAGUUUUCACCAUCUGUUAUGCUUAGUUAGAACAUUACGUUGUAACACACAUCAUAGAGUCCAAUGGACGUCAACACUGUUUGCUUGUUUUGAAGACCAGGACAAUAUAGUCAAAACUUUUUUAUCGUGUUAACCAGUAAUUUUAACUCAACUUUUACCAAAACUGAAGCAAAUUUAUUUUGACCCCUGUACAAACUGAAACCUGCUUUAGUAUCCAUUUUAUCCAUUAUCCAUUACUGUCUAUAGACAGUAUAAACAGCAGCUUUUUGGAAUCCUUACAAACAGACUUUUAAAAGUGACUGGAGUACUUUUAUAUUUUGACCUCUGUGUAAUGAUUCAUUGAGCUCUAUCUGGGUAUAGCCACCACAAAGGUUAUGAUGCAAGUUUGACUCCAUGGUACCUCUUGGGCUAGAUAAGAUUGUAAGUGCUGUUUAGUCCCUUGACCUUAGGUGGUACUGAUUAGUAAGAAAAGGCUAAGAAAGAGUUGAUGCAAAUUAAGUUUCUCAUCACACCAGCAUCAAACACCAGCUACUA